UGACUGUAUCUUAAACCACCUUCCACAUGAAGCAUUCUGGAAUGUUGUAUAUGAUGAAGCUCUUUGCAUCAUCCAGUCAGGUGACAAUCCUGUCCAGUGCUCUUGGGCUGGAUAAGGUCUCGUCUCCCAUCGGCCCUCCUGUGGGUUGGGCAGGCACUGACAAGCCUGUUUGGCUGCAGGGGUAAGGUGGGCUGCCUGCCUGGAGGGAGGGUGUCUGGGUGGGGGGCUUGACCCCGGACCCUGGACCACUGGCUGGAUGGCUGCAAUGACUGAACAAAAUGCAGCUGAUCUCGUUUCAGAAUGCUCUGCAUGUAGUCUAGUUAUCUAAGAUUGGGAUUAUUUGGUUUUCAAACUUCUGUUUUUUUUUUUUCUAGCUCGUUGGCUGUUGAAGUGUUGCUGUCCUGGUGGAGUGGGAAGUGCUCGUGUUGUACACCGGCUCGCACUCCUGUUUGGGCAGCAAGAAGUGGGACAGUCUCGUUGGAACUGGGAAACCAGGCCAAGUCAAUUAAACCCCUGACUAUGUGUUUUGCUGAAUAAAUAAAUCUACAAAUGUGA